GGCAGUCACCUUGGCUAGC
rnacentral:miRNA from 1 species